UUGGCGGGAAGGAAGUCCAGGUGAGACAGGCCCGCGUUGGGACUAUCGUGCGCGCCCCCUCAUCUUCUGCUCCAGCCACUUCCAGCUGCCUUCCUGGAAUCCCAGAGACUGAAUCAGAGCAUUUUGGAGCUAGGCAGACCACCUGCCACAUUUUCAGCUGAGGCAGUUGGGGCCCAGAGAGGUUAAGGGCCUGCCCAAUGCCACACAGCCAGUGGGUAAGGCCUACAGUGCUCUUACCAGGACCUCAAACCUUCAUUCUGAAACACCAAAAGCUGCCAUCGGACCAGCCAUGUGCUUCUCAUUUGCAGAGUAGAGGGGAGGCUGGAUCUGCUGGCCUGGAGCAGUUCCUAGGGACUGGCCUGGCAGGCUGGAAUGCCCAAGAGGUUUUGAGGGGGCAGGAGAGAUGACCUGGAAAUGUUUAGGAUACCUAGUUUAUAGAAGAGUGCUUCUGGGACUUAGAGGCUGGAAAAGCAAGGCCCUAUUUGCAGACCUGUACUUGGGGGUUCAGCCUCGAAUGGAAACUUAUUUCCUUGACUCCAGGCAGCUGAGAGUGAGGACACAUUAGGCUGGGGAUUCUGAAAUGGGCAGAAUAAUCCUCGGGGGCAAACACUGAGUGGAAGUCAUCUUGAUGGGAGGGGAUGCCUUUCCCACGGGGCACCUGGGCAGGUCUCACCAUUCUGCAGUCACCCCCAGCAUAAAAUAUGAAGUGGAACAGCUUCCCUGCCAGAUCCCUGGGAGGCUCUGGCUCCGUUACAGCGACUCGAUGAAAAUAUCUCUGCUCAGUGCUGAGAACUUGGUCUUAGUAAUUGACUUGUAUAAUGUCCAAAGACUAUGCAUGUAACUGGCCCAAAGUGAUGCAUCAUCUUUCGCAAAAAGAUUCAUCAUGGAAUCUGCAGCAGCCUCCCAUUUGUCUGGAGCAGAAAUAGGAACAACUCCCCUUGCCAGGAGUCAUCCUUUGUCUUCAAAGCAAAUUCCUCCAUGGUUGGAAGCUUCCUGGGCCCAGGCUGAGGCCUAUGGCCAACUUCCUGGCCAAGGUCCCAGAGUCCCAGCAUGUCUAUCUCAGGAACCUCAGCCACAGGCAGCAGCUCACAGAACGUGGAGCACUGGGUUUAGGAGUCCUGAGUUCUAGGACUGACUCUGCCAUCAGCUGGCUUGUGACCUUGGACAAGUCACUGAAUACCCCCGGGCUUUUCCUUCUCCAUCUGUAAGAUGGAAUUUGUGAUUUCUGCUUGAACUAUCUCACAGGAGAAAUGGAUGAGGAAUUACCCAUCACCCACUGUGUAGAGGGGCCCCAUAGUAUCAUGGUUUAGAGCAUGGGCUUUGGGAUCCGAAGGAUCUAGGGUCAAAUCCCAGCUCUGUUGUUUGGUGAUGUCACAUUGGACGAGUUUCUUAACCUGUUGAGAAAGUGGGGACACUAACAGUAUCUACUCUGUAACG
rnacentral:lncRNA from 1 species